UACGUAGGUGGCAAGCGUUAUUCGGAUUCACUGGGCGUAAAGGGUGCGCAGGCGGCCGGGUGUGUCAGAUGUGAAAUCCCGAGGCUUAACCUCGGAACUGCGUCUGAAACUACUCGGCUAGAGUAUUGGAGAGGGUAACGGAAUUCACGGUGUAGCAGUGAAAUGCGUAGAUAUCGUGAGGAACACCAGAGGCGAAGGCGGUUACCUGGACAAUUACUGACGCUCUGGCACGAAAGCAUGGGGAGCAAAAGGG
rnacentral:rRNA from 1 species